GGGACAGUGCAGCAGCCGCCCAGCGUAGCACUGAGCGCGGGAGAGAACCACACCAGACCAGACCAGGCAGCAGCAAGAAGAAGCUGGCAGCGGCGGCAGGUUAGGGGUUAGGGGGCGCAAAUUACUUGCCUUGCCCCGGGUUAGGGGGCACAAAUUACUUGCCUUGCCCCGGGUGCUGACAACCCACGCUACGCCGCUGGACUGAUAAAGAGAACCCAAGGGGUCAGUUGAGGCUUGAGGAGCCAGGGCAGUGAGGCGUUGGAGGGCACUGCAAAGUAGCUGGCAUUUGAGCAAGCAAGGGAAAUGAUUGGCAAGGGAGAGGCAGAGGCAAAUCGUCUCCAAAGGAUUGUAAGGAAAAGCGACUCCUGCACAGCAGGGGGUUGGCCUAGAUGACCCCUUAGGAUCCCUUCCUACUCAACCAUUCUAUGAUCCUCUGAAUACCUGUUUUACUGACCUUUCACGCUUGCCUAAAAGGGGCUAGAUGAGGGAUUUGAGACGACUCUUCCUAUCUUUUGGAUGCUGAUUUCUCAGGGAACCCCAAACUCUUGCCAGACCCCACAGAACUUUCAGCUUGCAACAGACUGGGACUCGAGGCCAUUGCAGAGGCACUGAGCCCCUUCUUUCCUGGGGAGAAGGAGGUAGGAUUCAGCAGAAGAGUUCAGGAGGAAAGUGACCGGCGCUUUCUCCUCUGCUGGAAGAAAAGCUCAAAAAAUGUUGCUUUUCUUUAAGGGCAGGAUUCAGGAACCAUUUGGAUGUCCCUUGAGAAUUCCUCGAAAGGAGAAUGGCAGACGAAAUUAAUGGAUUACGCAGAAUUGGACAAAAUGGCAGGAAGGAUUCAAAACCUGCGGGACCAGAGGAUUGGAAGAAGUAUAUGAACUAUUUGAAGAGCAAUUGUAACCAACAAAUUACGCUAGUAGGACUACAAGAAGUUUUGCAAGGAGAAAUAUACAAAGUGUUACAAAGUAGAAAAAGAUAGAGAUAUUGGUUAUGAGUUUUAAAUGUAAUAGGGAAAGUAAGAAAUGCAUACUAAGAGAUUAGACUGGAAAAAUUUUCAGACAGGACUGAUGGAAGUCAAAAAAAUGAAUAAGAUGUAAAAGUACGUAUGUUUAAUUAUUGUUGAAAGCGGUAUGUUAAAAAACCUAAUAAAAUUUUAUAUUAAAGAAGAAGAAGAAGAAUUCCUGUCAUUGUUUAAUAUUGAUGGAUAAUCCUAAUAUUUCUUGCCAUAGACAGUGGUAGCUGAGGGGGAGAAAGCCACUUUGCAGAAGUCCACCCACCCACCCACACCCCAGCUUGGAGGCAUCAAAGCGCUCUCCGGGGAUUUUGUCUGCUUGUUGUGCAGCUGCCUUGAAUACUUUUGAAAACGAAGUCCAUGCACAACCACGAAUCUCUUCUCUUCUUCCCACUCCCCGCAGCCUCCUGAUGAAAAGGAACUGGGCCUCCCAGCCAAACUGAAAAAGGCAGAUCUGGCAGGAACAGGAAUCUGGGAGAAUUUGCAGGAGAACCACGACCCAAGCGAAGCAGGCACAGAGAACCAACCAUAUUAGGCAAUGGAGUCAAAAUACGUGUGUGUGUGUUGCAUUCUAUAAUCCUUUAAAAAGCUCCUGGGGAAAUGUGAGUUAUUGUAUUUGACUGUCAUUGGGAGGGAUUAAAUGACUUGCAUUCUCCCUCUUGGUAUUUAUUCCCCAUACGCCUUGAUUUUUGCAGGCGAUAAACCCAGCAGUCCUGAAAAAACAGGAGAAAGGAACAGCUCUGCCAAUUCCAGCAGCUCACUUCCAGCAGGAGACAGAAGUUAUAACACCCCUCCACUGUUUAUCUCCAGCAUCCAAUAUUCAGAGAUAUACCACUCCCGGACAUGGAAGAUCCAUGAGCGAUCCACUUUAGCAACACUGGGAACAAGGCAUAAAUCACUCUUUUUAGUGGACUUCGGAACUCCCUGCCACUUGACACCAGGCAGGCGCCUUCGCUGUGCUCUUUUCGGGGUCUGCUGAAAACAGUCUUGUUUAGACAAGCCCGCCCAGGUGCUGUGAAGGUAGACGCGAGUUUUAAUCUGUUUUUAGCCUGCUGCUAUUUUAACUUUUCAGAAGUAAAUUUUAGGAAACAAAUAAACAGACAUUCCUUCAAAUGUAGGAAGGAGAUAAAGAGACAUUCCUUCAAAUGCUCAAAAGCCUGAUGUGAUUUCCUAGUGAAUACAGAGUGAAAAGGGCAGAGAGAGAUUUAAUUUCAAAUGCGAAGAAUUUGUAAAAGAUGUUUGGAAGUCAGAAAGAGGGAGGGAAGGAAGUUGAUGCUUUGUUUGAGCAAUGCUUUAAGUUAUGGAUUGGUGUAAUGAAAAUGUAAUGAAAUAUGGAAAACCCAAUAAAAAUUAUGUUUAAAAAAA